GACGAACGCUGGCGGCGUGCCUAAUACAUGCAAGUAGAACGCAGUUGCGAACGGGUGAGUAACGCGUAGGUAACUGCCUCAUCGCGGCGGAUAACUAUUGGAAACGAUAGCUAAUACCGCAUACUGUGAGAUGGACCUGCGUUGGAUUCGCUAGUUGGUGAGGUAAAGGUUCACCAAGGCGACGGUACAUAGCCGACCUGUGAGGGGGAACGGGCAACCGUGGAAUGGGGGACGGGCCAGACGCCGACGGGGAGCAGGCGUAGGGGAUCUUCGGCAAUGGAAGGAAGUCUGACCGAGCAACGGCGGGUGAAUGGAGAAGGUUUUGCGAUCGGAAAGAUCUGUGGUUAGAGAAGCGGUAACUAACCAGAAAGGGACGGCUAACUACGUGCCAGCAGCCGCGGUAAUAC
rnacentral:rRNA from 1 species